rnacentral:rRNA from 1 species
UCCCGGGUGGCGAGUGGCGCACGGGUGAGUAAUACAUCGGAACUGUCCUGGUUNUGGGGGGAUAACUGCUCGAAAGGGUGGCUAAUACCGCAUGAGACCUGAGGGUGAAAGCGGGGGAUCGCAAGACCUCGCGCAAUUGGAGCGGCCGAUGCCCGAUUAGCUAGUUGGUGAGGUAAAGGCUCACCAAGGCGACGAUCGGUAGCUGGUCUGAGAGGACGACCAGCCACACUGGGACUGAGACACGGCCCAGACUCCUACGGGAGGCAGCAGUGGGGAAUUUUUGGACAAUGGGGGCAACCCUGAUCCAGCCAUGCCGCGUGCAGGAUGAAGGCCUUCGGGUUGUAAACUGCUUUUGUCAGGGACGAAAAGGACCGUGUUAAUACCAUGGUCUGCUGACGGUACCUGAAGAAUAAGCACCGGCUAACUACGUG